CACAAACUAACCUAUCCAAGUCCAAAAUGAGACUCUCCCCUCUAAUUAAUAGAUCUAGACCCAACACAUUAGAGACUAGACUUUAAAAAGGAGAAAAAUCUGAAGGAGCUCAUCUCCAAAAAAAAGCAAAGAACGGCGCAAACUGGAGGUCCUUUCUCCGGUUCUGCUUCUUCAUUUCUAAGCACACAAAGAGAGAUUAUACCUCUUCCUCCCCAUGCUCAUACUAGAAUUUCUCCUCAAUUGACAUAGCACAAAACGCCACUAUAUUACCCGGAAUAUAAAAUUGAUUAUGAUCAGAUUCUUAAGUCUUUAUUAAAUCAAUCGAUUUUGAUCCAGGUUUGAGGCACAAUGAAGGCCAUGGAGACCUUGCAAGAUCUGAUUGAAGAAGUAAAAGUUCGAAUGGUUUGGUAGAGUUUGCGUAUAUUUGUUGUCUGCUACUUUUUAAAUCUGUUCCUUUGAAGCCGAAUAAAGUUUUAAAGGGUUGUUUGUUGCUGGUGACCUGCUGUGACUAUGGCUAAACUUCCUGCCUUUCUCCAUUAUCGAUCUUCUCUAUUCCGAUUCAGGGUAUUUAUGGGAUCUCUAUCUUAUUGUCGGAGUCACAUCUUCUUUUUUACACGCCUACCCCGAAGAUAAAACGCAUAAGGGAAUUUUUUUAAUUAAAGUGACAUUAUUCGAAAUGAGAGUAUUUAUUUAUUAGAAUCGCCACUUGGGAUAUGUUUGAAUUUUGGUGUCAAAAGUCACCAGUUUAUUUAGAAUCUCAAAUUAAGAAAAUUUUUCGAUUGCCCAAAUGAAGUAUG
rnacentral:lncRNA from 1 species